CUGGAAAGGAGGCUCAGGCAUCGGUAGUUUGGCAACAUCGCAAUAACAUGCAGCUCGAACAAUAGUGAACUUAUCUGGAAGAUCACAGGUUCUGUUCCCCAGUUACCCUGUCCAUGCCUGCUGUGUGUUCUAUACCCACUCUCUGACUCGUGAGAAGGCAGGCUGAUGAGCAGUCUACCCACAGAUUAGACAUCUUAGACAAGCUUUAACCCAGCCUGAUCUCGAUGAGAUAGGCAUGUCCCAUCCAGCUAAUGUUGCGGACUUUUGAAUGAAACAGAAUCUGAAGAUAUGUGACUUUUCUGAGUCUGACUCAAAUGGUCUUUGUGCCCGAUGGAGUCCUGCCUUCUUUGCUUACUGAAUUUUAGACCUCUCACGUGACCUUGACUAGGAGCCACGCUUCAUGAUGUCGAUCUGCUCACAGCCUUUGCCUCCGGUCUCUGUGGCCCUAUUCUUAGUAUCAUGGAGUUGUUGAGAACUGAAUGAAAAAAUGUACAUGAAAGGCACUUGUGCAUCGUAAAACAUCCUACCAGUAUCAACUCUGGUGAAAUCUAAAGCACCGAACUGGCAUUCAGGUGGUGUGAUAAUUACGGUGCCAGACUCCCACAUGGCCAACCAGUGACUCUGCAGCUGUGAUGACAUUAAGGGCCUCGUGAAGAGGCGAGUACCCAGAAUUAUCCAGGUGACCUCAAUCUAGCCACACGGUCCUUGAACGUGAAGACCCUUUCCCAGCUCUGGUCAAGGGGGCUGUGACAACCAGAAAAGGAUUUACAACAAUGGCCCCAAGUUCUCAGACUUUCGGCCUCAGAUUGGGAAUCAUGUCAUUGGCUGCCCUGCCUCUGGGGUCUAUGGACUUGGACUCACGCUACCAGAAUCUCAGGUUUUCCACCCUGCAGGCAGCCUGUGGUGGGCUCCCCAACACCGUAAACAUGUGAGGAAGCCUGAGUGACAGAAAGCCUGACAGCUUGGCGGAAGGCACAGUAAGAAGCGGUCAGCAAGGGUGCUAGCCCAGGCACGGCGGAUGCAGAGCUUGUCUCAAAACCCCUAGGGACUAUCAGUCCUCUUGCAAUCCAGCCAUAUGGACCUCCUUUACGUUUCUGGGGAUACAUGGCUUCCUUUCACCCCUAGCCUUCACGAACACCAGUGUCUCAUCCAGCAUAUUCUCCUACCCUCU